UUUUUGAUGACUAUUACCGCUUUCAGAUUUUUUUUAUAUGCACUCCUGAUUUUCAUACAAAUUUUUAAAAUUUGAGAAAUUCACCACAUUUUGAAAUAAAAAUCACCAUGCGAAGUAAUUUUUGGCUGUUUUUGGCAACCUUGGAAUGGUGAUCAUUUUUUUUUCACCUCAGAAAAUUAGCAACGUCUGGGACCCCUUUUUUUGUUUACACUCAUGAAUGUCAAACUGCGCGGAAUUUCAUCAGAAGGAACAGAAGCAGUAGAAAAAUCGGAUUGGACUUCAACCGGGCUUUGUCCGAGUAAACGGGUGGUCCUGGUCAACUAGCCGUGGCAGAAAUCGUUGGAAAAUGGAUUGGUGGUCUUGGAAAAGGCGAAAAACAACCACGCCUAUGCGGAAGACAGGCUCUCUCUACCACGAACCAUAACUUCCAGUUGCUGGCACUGUCGGUGAUCCCGCGGGCCGAACUCUGCAGGAUGUGCUGGAAGUGGUCGAGUGUCUACUUAUUUUGCACAUCGAAUUUCGAUUGUUUUGUAUAUCAAAACGUUGUGGUGCUUAUGGAACACAGAAGGAUGCCAUAUGGUCUCGUCGCCGGAUCAACAAACGGUGCAGUAUGGAACUAAAUAAAUAACAAGCCCGUGCAGGACAAUAAACGAACAAGUCGCAAGUCAUAUUCGCCGAGAUGCACAACUACGUACCCUGAGAUGCGAAAUACAUUCAUUGCGAUCACUGGAUUUGGAGUAGAGCGGACAAAACUUGCAGUAGAGAGCGGAGAAGCUGGGCCGAAACUGGUUUGACAAGGAUGCGGAAGUCAAGCUCAAUUACGAAGAGAUGGCGGAGAAGGACAAGGUGCGGUUAGAAGAGAGUCCAAGUUCAAGCUGAAACGCAAAAAACAAAGAGGCACCCCGGUUGACCUCGUUGGCCUGCAGCAAAUCAGCAUCCAAAACCAAGUCCAGAACCUGCCUGCCCUAACACGUUCAGUCAGCGGCAGCGGCCCAAUAGCAAGUGCAAAUUCAGAAUAGGAAGGGUUGUCCAGGGAAACUGUGUCUAUAUUGGUAAUAAAAAGUCAGUAUUGACAUUUUUUUUAAAAUU